rnacentral:lncRNA from 15 species
AUGUCUAUUAGUUAUGUUAGUUGUUAUAAUUCAUUUGAAAACCUUGUUCUUAGUCUUUCUCACCCAUCCUGGAAAACACUGCAGCCAGUUCUAUUUGUUAUAGUGUACCGCACUCCUGGACCGUACUCUGAUUUUAUAUCUGAAGUCUCUGAAUUUUUAUCAAGUUUAGUCCUUAAAUCAGAUAAAAUAAUUAUUGUAGGUGAUUUUAAUAUUCAUGUGGAUGUUAACAAUGACAGCCUUAGUAAUGCAUUUAUAUCAUUAAUAGACUCAAUUGGCUUCUGUCAGAGUGUAAAUAAACCAACUCAUUGUUUUAAUCACACUCUUGACCUUGUUCUAUCAUAUGGCAUUGAUAUUGAACAUUUAAUAGUCUUCCCACAUAAUCCUUUCCUAUCUGACCAUUAUUUAAUAACUUUUGAAUUCAUAUUAUUAGAUUAUAAGCCAUUAGGCAAAACUUCCUACAGCAGAUGUCUAUCUGACAGUGCUGUAGCUAAAUUUAAGGAGGAGAUUCCUUCAGUGUUUAAUUCAAUGCCAUGUCUGAAUUUAACAGAAUCCUAUAACGACUUUAGUCCCUCUGAAAUUGAUAAUCUUGUUGAUAGUGCUGCAGGCUCACUACGAUCAACAUUAGACUCUAUCGCUCCUAUAAAAAGGAAAUUAUUAAAACAUAGGAGACUAGCACCGUGGUAUAAUCACCAAACCCGCCAGUUAAAGCAAAUAGCUAGGAAAUCUGAAAGGAAAUGGCGCUCUUCCAAAUUAUCAGAAUAUUGCUCAAUUUGGCAAGAUGAUCUUAAGACUUAUAGAAAGGCCCUCCGUAAUGCCAGAGGAGCCUAUUACUCAGCACUAAUAGAAGAAAAUAAGAAUAACCCUAGGUUCCUUUUCAGCACUGUAGCCAGGCUGACAGAGAGCCACAGCUCUAUUGAGCCACAUAUCCCCAUAAACUUAAGUAGCAACGACUUCAUGAGCUUCUUCUAUAAUAAAAUUAUUACUAUUAGAGAGAAAAUUAAUCACCAACUGCCAUCAACAGUUAUCAGUGGCUCUCCAAGUUCAGGGACUUUUGCUAAUGUAAACUUAGAUAUAUAUUUAGACUUUUUCUGCUAUCGAUCUUCAUCAGUUAACUUCAAUCAUUUCUUCAUCGAAGCCAUCAACCUGUCUAUUAGACCGAUCCCCUGCUUAAAGAAGUUGUUCCCUUAA